rnacentral:rRNA from 1 species
CCCUUAGAUGUUCUGGGCCGCACGCGCGCUACACUGAUGCAGUCAACGAGUUUCGCCCUGCUUCGAUAGAGGUGGGUAAUCUUCUCAAACUGCAUCGUGCUGGGGAUAGAUUAUUGCAAUUUUUAAUCUUCAACGAGGAAUUCCUAGUAAGCGCAAGUCAUCAGCUUGCGCUGAUUACGUCCCUGCCCUUUGUACACACCGCCCGUCGCUCCUACCGAUUGAGUGGUCCGGUGAGGCUUUGGGAUCUGAGCGGAAAGAGCGUUUCGCUGUUUCUGCUCGGAAAACUCAGUCGAACCUUAUCAUUUAGAGGAAGGAGAAGUCGUAACA